GACGAACGCUGGCGGCGUGCUUAACACAUGCCAGUCGAACGAAAAGGCCCUGCUUUUGUGGGGUGCUCGAGUGGCGAACGGGUGAGUAACACGUGAGUAACCUGCCCUUGACUUUGGGAUAACUUCAGGAAACUGGGGCUAAUACCGGAUAGGAGCUCCUGCUGCAUGGUGGGGGUUGGAAAGUUUCGGCGGUUGGGGAUGGACUCGCGGCUUAUCAGCUUGUUGGUGGGGUAGUGGCUUACCAAGGCUUUGACGGGUAGCCGGCCUGAGAGGGUGACCGGCCACAUUGGGACUGAGAUACGGCCCAGACUCCUACGGGAGGCAGCAGUGGGGAAUAUUGCACAAUGGGCGGAAGCCUGAUGCAGCAACGCCGCGUGCAGGAUGACGGCCUUCGGGUUGUAAACCGCUUUCGCCUGUGACGAAGCGUGAGUGACGGUAAUGGGUAAAGAAGCACCGGCUAACUACGUG
rnacentral:rRNA from 1 species